rnacentral:rRNA from 1 species
AUUGAACGCUGGCGGCAGGCCUAACACAUGCAAGUCGAACGCGUGGCGGACGGGUGAGUCAUGUCGGGGACACUGCCCGAAGGAGGGGGAUAACUCCUGGAAACGGUAGCUAAUACCGCAUACCAUCGGAUGUGCCCUGAUGGGCUUUGCUAGUAGGUGGGGUAACGGCUCACCGAGUCGCAGAUCCCUGGCUGGUCUGAGAGGUUGGCCAGCCACACUGGAACUGAGACACGGUCCAGACUCCUCCGGGAGGCAGCAGUGGGGAAGAUUGCACAAUGGGCGAAAGCGUGAUGCAGCCAUGCCGAGUGUAUGAAGAAGGCCUUCGGGUGGUAAAGUACUUUCAGCGAGGAGGCGUUACUCGCAGAAGAAGCACCGGCUAACUCCGUGCCAGCAGCCGCGGUAAUAC